GCACUACUGAAGAGUCCCAUAAUAGGACGAAAGGGCCGUCCAGUGC
rfam:Schistosoma mansoni strain Puerto Rico chromosome 6, complete genome